rnacentral:rRNA from 1 species
GACGAACGCUGGCGGCGUGCUUAACACAUGCAAGUCGAACGGAAAGGCCUGCUUUCCCUUGUGGAUUGCGGGUACUCGAGUGGCGAACGGGUGAGUAACACGUGAGUGAUCUGCCCCCAACUUGGGUAUAAGCCUGGGAAACUGGGUCUAAUUCCCGAUAGGACUGCAGGGUGGUGCCUGUGGUGGAAAACGAUUUUCUAGUGGUUGGGGAUGAGCUCGCGGCCUAUCAGCUUGUUGGUGGGGUAAUGGCCUACCAAGGCGGCGACGGGUAGCCGGCCUGAGAGGGUGGACGGCCACAGUGGGACUGAGUUACGGCCCAGACUCCUACGGGAGGCAGCAGUGGGGAAAAAUGCACAAUGGGCGGAAGCCUGAUGCAGCGACGCCGCGUGGGGGAUGACGGCCUUCGGGUUGUAAACUCCUUUCGACCGCGAGGAAGCCACCUGGUUGGAAGGGUGGUGACGGUAGUGGUAGAAGAAGCACCGGCUAACUACGUG